ACAAUAUGAAAAUUACCCAUGGCAUUUGUUGUUUUGGGUAAGAUAAUUGUGCCGACAGUAAUCUGGCACAUUUAGCUUAUUGGCAACUCCAUGUUGUUGUGCAAUGAAACCCAUGUGCCAACACUA